UAUCCGAUAAUAUCCAGUUUUUUUGUCACCCAGAUUCCUUUUGGGCCCAAUUUUCUUUCACCACGAAGGGUCGUUCUCUCUUCCCCUCUUUUUUUCUCUUCUCUUCGCAGCCGCACCGCAUCGCGUCGCAUCGCUUAUUCGAUUGCGUUGCCUCUCUUACGCUUUCUCUUUUAAUAUCCAAUUUCAUCACCUUCAUCGCAUCGGUAAGCCUUUUCAAUCUCCCUAUCAAUCUUCAAAGCCUCUUCCUAAAUUUCUAGGGUUUCAAUUCUAAUCCUCUUUUUUCCUUCUAACUUUAUUUCAACUCAUAGUGUUUCUAUUUUGCCUUGUCUCGUGAUCUCCAAUCGCCUUCAGAUCUUUCACGAUUUCUUCUUUAGUUUUGAAAUUCCACGUAUUUGUUGUAUUUUGGGUUUAGGGUUCUAUAAAACAAAAGAAAAAAAGAAAAAAAAUACAAAGUCGUUCCGAAGGGGGAUUAGGGUUUUCCCUUGUGAUUCACGCAUUUAGGUAGCUAGAGAUAUAUGGCGGCUGGGAGACAUGGCGGUUACCGCGAAAACGACUUCAGAGAGCGCGAAUCGAAACUCGAAGGUUCUAGACGCGGGCUUGCCAAUUCGAAAGAGGAUUACGAUCGUGUUAGGAAUGGUGGCGGUGAUGUUGUGAGGGGAGGGUCCAGGGACAGGGUUAGGGUGAGGCAGAGGGAUAUUAAGGAGAGGGAAGGUGUUAAUGGUGGGUACCGAUCAUCUUCGAGUAGGAGUGACUCUGGCAGCAGUGGCCUUGGUCCUCGCCGAUGUGGUUUCUCUAUCAAAGCAAUGGAUAGAGAGCCUGGUGAGCUUUCCAGUGAGAGUGGUUCUGAUGAUGCAAUUGAGUCAGAAUCUAGGGCGAAAGACUCCGAGGUUUCCAUGUUGGAAGAAACAAGAACCCGAUCCCCACCGGUGCCGGACAGGAAAAGAAAAUUCUCGCCCAUAGUGUGGGAUCAGGAUGACAAAGAUGUCAGUGAGUCAUCCAGAGUUAGGGUUUCUGCCUCUACAGUGGUGGCAGCAGCACUUCCUCCUCCGCCUCCAUUGCCAAAGGUAUUCCAUCAGUCACCGUCACCAAAUGCUCCAAAUGGUGUUGUACAAAUACAUCCUGUCAAGAACAAGGAGACCGAGGAUCUCCAGUUGAAUGCAACAUCUAAGAUUACCUUGCCCUCUCCUUCAGGUUUGCAUUCAUCACCUCCGAAAGGGAGGUGGGGUAAUGAUCAGGAAGCUGAUCAUCUAGAAGGUGAAGUUUAUGUUCCAGCUCGCAAUAUAUCAUCUUCAAGAUGGGCAGCUGGAGAUAACUCUCCUGGUGAUGAGGGUGAGAUCCUCAAUGAUGAGGAGAUGCCCAAACGAAGGAGGAAGGUGUCUCCUGAGUUCUUGGAUGGCAGACUAAGGAACAAGUUAUUGAGCCCUGUGGAAUCCAAGAUUGAAGGUAUUGAAGGAGCUAGAGCCAGAUCAUCUGAAUCUGAAGAAAGAGGUGUCCGUGGGAGAACUUCCAGCAGUGAUGAUCAUCCUGGUAUGGAGUCAGAGAAGGAUGACUUCAUGGAGGUUGACCCUCAGGGUGGGAAAAGUGAAACAAGUGUCAGUCACUCCGAAACGGAAUAUGAAGAUGAAGACGAUGGUAGGGAGACUCCAGAACCUCCUUCUCCACCCCAAAGAACUGUCAACAUGCUUCAGGGUUGUAGAAGUGUUGAUGAGUUUGAGAGACUUAACAAGAUAGAUGAAGGAACAUAUGGUGUUGUAUAUAGGGCUAGGGAUAAAAAGACCGGAGAAAUUGUAGCAUUGAAGAAGGUCAAGAUGGAGAAGGAAAAGGAGGGCUUCCCACUGACUUCUCUUAGGGAAAUAAAUAUUCUUCUUUCUUUUCACCACCCAUCCAUAGUUGAUGUUAAAGAAGUAGUGGUAGGAAGUAGCCUUGAUAGUAUUUUCAUGGUCAUGGAAUAUAUGGAGCAUGACCUUAAAGGACUAAUGGAAGCAAUGAAGCAACCUUUCAGCCAGAGUGAAGUGAAGUGCUUGAUGAUCCAGCUUUUAGAAGGUGUGAAGUAUCUUCAUGACAACUGGGUGCUUCAUAGGGAUUUAAAGACAUCAAAUCUGCUUUUAAAUAAUAGGGGUGAGCUCAAAAUUUGUGAUUUUGGCUUGGCCCGUCAGUAUGGGAGUCCUUUAAAGCCAUAUACACACCUGGUGGUUACUCUUUGGUACAGGGCACCUGAACUCCUUCUGGGGUCAAAACAGUAUUCAACAGCCAUAGACAUGUGGUCUCUAGGCUGUAUAAUGGCUGAGCUAUUAUCUAAGGAACCACUGUUUAAUGGGAGAACGGAGUUUGACCAACUUGACAAGAUUUUUCGGAUUCUAGGCACCCCUAAUGAAGCAAUAUGGCCUGGUUUCUCAAAAUUACCUGGGGUCAAGGUCAAUUUUGUCAAACACCAGUACAACCUCCUGCGGAAAAAAUUUCCUGCCACAUCAUUCACUGGAUCUCCUGUUCUUUCUGAUUCAGGAUUUGAUUUGUUGAACAAACUUCUAACAUAUGACCCUGAAAAGCGGAUCACUGCUGAAGCUGCUCUAAAUCAUGAGUGGUUUCGUGAGGUCCCUCUCCCCAAAAGUAAAGAAUUCAUGCCUACAUUUCCUGCUCAACACGCUCAGGACAGGCGUGUGCGGAGAAUAUACAAGAGUCCAGAUCCUUUAGAGGAGCAGCGCCGGAAGGAGUUGCAGCAGGGUGAAUCGGGGACUGGUGGAAUUUUUGGCUAAGAAUGGUGCUUGCUAAGGCUGUGUCUCAAUAAUCAUUCUGAAACUGCUGAAUGUUUUAGUGUUUGAGGAACAUUUUGGUUUAGCGAAGAUGUAUUCUUUUACCUCCCUGGCAACCAGAUUUAUUUCAGAGAUGGUUGGUGUGAAGUGCAAGAGGACCUUCUGUGCAUCUUUCCAAAGAAAUUGGGUGACGUUAUGCAUUAAAAGUAUCAAGUAUCAAAGCAAGCAGGUUGAGGAGGUUACCAGUAUAUCUUAAAGUAUAGAACUUCAAUUAGUUGUUCCUUCAGUCUCUCUAGAGCUGGGAGAUUGGGUUGCUAAGAGAUGUAAAGCAUCCACUUCCCAUUCAACACAAUUUAUUGGAUUUCAUCAUUGGAUGGCUAAUGCUGUAAGCAUAAGAUGUAUUUUGUUUUAUUUUAAUUGGUUGAAGGCAGGUUUUGGUAUGAAAUAUUAGGUUUGUGUUUAGUGUGGAUGGGUUUGUAUUUCAUAUGUUGCCAUGCCCACAAAUCAUUUUAUAUAUUGUGUAGAUCUUUUGUUAAAUAAGAUUUGGAUUAUGUCGAAGGAUUGGAAAAUGGAUUUGUGAAUUAACAGUUUUCGUGGAUCCUUGGUUGGAAUGGGAGUAAAGGUGGGGAAAAGCCCUGGAUUUCGUGGAUUCACAUAAACUUAGGUACUUCUCUACAAUAGUACACAUAUCGAUGACAUUGAACUAAAUCUUAGCGCAGACCUUGAAUUUGACAGGCAGAGAAAAAUAAAAAUUGCUUGAAUAGUCUUUGCUUUGUUAUAGUUAGAGAAAAAAUGAGCAGGAAACGGGGAAUACAAAAUAACAUGGUUCACAGGCAAGUGUGGAAGUUAGGACUGCUAAGUACCUAGACGGCGGGGGUUGGAUGGAUGGAAAAAACGGCGAAAAAAAUGCAACGUCUCAUGAUGUAUUUUGUUGAUAUUUUUACGGAUCAACGUUAGUUCAUUGGGAAUCUAAACUAUACUAGGUGAAACCUCUACUUUUUUCUAAUGUAUUUUAAAGUGUAAUUGCUUGUUCCUAGUGUUAUGGUUUGUCAAAACUUUUAGGCUUGUGGUAGUUUUUGUAUUUCAAACUCCUUAUUUUUUGUUUGAUCAAAUGAUCUCCUAAUUAUUUAAUUGUUGGUGACA